rnacentral:lncRNA from 1 species
AUGCUCUCGAUUUCCAUACAGUGGGGCGAUUUCUUAAGGAGUCUCUUCCUUCAUCACCGCCACCAAUCUCCUCGAGCCAGAUCGACCAAAUGGAAAGGGAGUGAAACUUCACUCAGAAAUUUCUUAAAUCUGGAUCGCGAUAAUCUCUCGGUGGCGAGCUCUACUUCCGCCGCGAUGGCAACAGGCGCGACUGAAUCUUUAGUUGUGUUGAUGAUGAAGCAGAAGUUUGAAGAAGUAUUGCAGUAG